CUUGAACUCACUGUGUAGCCCAGGCUGAUGUUGAAUUCAUGGCAAUCCUCCUGCCUCCAGAGCGCUGGGAUUAUAGGGAAGGGUCUUGUUGUCUAGCUGGUCUUGAACUCUUGGACUCAAGUGAUCCUCUGGCUUCAACCUCUGGAGUAGCUGGUAGUAGAGCACAUGCCACCAUGCCUGGCUUGUCAUCUUCUUUCUGACACAUCUUCUCCACCAUCCCCAAAAUGAAGUCCAAGGCCCUUAGCAUCACAUACAAGUCUCUUUUGGAAUUGCCUUGACCACUUAGAACUCAGAUUCUAGGGCCGGGGAUUUAGGUCAGUGGUUCCGCCGCCUGCCUUGCAGGUGCAGGGUCCUGAGUUCGACCCCUGGUACCAAAAAAAAAAAAGAACUCAGAUUCUAUGCUAUAGUACAAAAUAUAAGCAGCAGCAGAGCAUAAUUA
rnacentral:lncRNA from 1 species